ACGGAAGGCAGCAGUGGGGGAUAUUGCACAAUGGGGGAAACCCUGAUGCAGCGACGCCGCGUGAGCGAAGAAGUAUUUCGGUAUGUAAAGCUCUAUCAGCAGGGAAGAAAAUGACGGUACCUGACCAAGAAGCUCCGGCUAAAUACGUGCCAGCAGCCGCGGUAAUACGUAUGGAGCAAGCGUUAUCCGGAUUUACUGGGUGUAAAGGGAGCGUAGACGGUUUGCCAAGUCUGAUGUGAAAGGUGGGGGCUCAACCCCCAAACUGCAUUGGAAACUGGUAGACUAGAGUGUCGGAGAGGUAAGUGGAAUUCCUAGUGUAGCGGUGAAAUGCGUAGAUAUUAGGAGGAACACCAGUGGCGAAGGCGGCUUACUGGACGAUAACUGACGUUGAGGCUCGAAAGCGUGGGGAGCAAACAGGAUUAGAUACCCUGGUA
rnacentral:rRNA from 1 species